rnacentral:rRNA from 1 species
UACGUAGGGGGCAAGCGUUGUCCGGAAUCAUUGGGCGUAAAGAGCGUGUAGGCGGCCAUAAGUCCGCUGUGAAAACUCGAGGCUCAACUUCGAGCUGUCGGUGGAAACUAUUUGGCUAGAGUCCGGAAGAGGAGAGUGGAAUUUCUGGUGUAGCGGUGAAAUGCGCAGAUAUCAGGAAGAACACCCGUGGCGAAGGCGGCUCUCUGGUACGGAACUGACGCUGAGACGCGAAAGCGUGGGGAGCGAACAGG